rnacentral:rRNA from 1 species
UACGUAGGGUGCGAGCGUUAAUCGGAAUUACUGGGCGUAAAGCGCGUGUAGGCGGCCUGGCAAGUCGGGUGUGAAAGCCCUCAGCUCAACUGAGGAAGUGCGCCCGAAACUGCUGGGCUCGAGUGCCGGAGAGGGUGGCGGAAUUCCCCAAGUAGAGGUGAAAUUCGUAGAGAUGGGGAGGAACACCGGUGGCGAAGGCGGCCACCUGGACGGUCACUGACGCUGAGACGCGAAAGUGUGGGGAGCGAACAGG